UGGCUCAGGAUGAACGCUGGCGGCGUGCUUAACACAUGCAAGUCGAACGAAGCACUUUAUUUGAAGCCUUCGGGCAGAUUAUUUUGUGACUUAGUGGCGGACGGGUGAGUAACGCGUGGGUAACCUGCCUCAUACACCGGGAUAACAGUGAGAAAUUGCUGCUAAUACCGGAUAAGCAUACAGCAUCGCAUGAUGCAGUGUGAAAAACUCAGGUGGUAUGAGAUGGACCCGCGUCUGAUUAGCUAGUUGGUGAGGUAACGGCCCACCAAGGCGACGAUCAGUAGCCGACUUGAGAGAGUGAUCGGCCACAUUGGGACUGAGACACGGCCCAAACUCCUACGGGAGGCAGCAGUGGGGAAUAUUGCACAAUGGGGGAAACCCUGAUGCAGCGACGCCGCGUGAAGGAUGAAGUAUUUCGGUAUGUAAACUUCUAUCAGCAAGGAAGAAAAUGACGGUACUUGACUAAGAAGCCCCGGCUAAAUACGUGCC
rnacentral:rRNA from 1 species